GGGCCCUACCCAGCGCCAAUUCGAAUUAGUCGGGCUCCAAUGCGGGUACCGAACAUCGGAUGAAAAAACAAAAAAAGAAAAAAAAUCUUAGAACUAUAAUCCGUCGUUUGGUAUGAGGUAUAAGGGAAUAAAUAGUUUCGGGAUAAAAUGAAGGACUAUUUAAUUCCAUGUUUGCUGUGAGUUAUUAGUUAGUACCAAAAUUAUUUAACCUGUUGACACCUAAUUUUUG
rnacentral:lncRNA from 1 species